UUAGCUCCUGAGAGAGAGAGAAGUGGGAGUAGUAGCUUUGGGCAGCAUAAGUGUCCGGAGGGGACAGGUGACCCUCGGAGCUACAAGUGCAAAUGUUUAGGCUCUGAUGCUGAAUCUUGAGAUAAUGAUGAAGCUGUGAAUAGACAUGAACUUUUCUAGGGAGAUACAGAAUACAAGGAGACAGACCACAACUGAGUGCUGGGAUCCUGGUAUGUGAGGCUACAGAAGAAAAGGAGAAGCUUGAGAAAAUACCGAAAAGGACUGGCAGGGCUGAGCAGGAAAACAGUAUGCUACCAUAGAAUCUGCGGAAGUCAGGAAGGAUGGCUGCGGAGAUGAAAGAGCUGGAGGGACUAAAUGCUGUGAGACCAGUUCAACCAGAAGAAGUUUACUGAGCACCGCAGGACAGUUCACAAGCUUUCGGCCUCCCUUGCACUGGGCAGUUCUCAGACUGAGCAGGGCGCUUCCUGGCACCAGCAGGACUGUUCUUAGCCCUGAAGAGAGAGCGCUUUCCAGCAGCCUAGGAGCAGGAGCGGCCUCAUCGCAGGCUGGACCCCCUUCCAUCUCGCCGGACCCAGAGAGGCAGCCGGGUAGCAGCGGAUCCCCACUUUCCAAUCACUGUCCUCUCUGGAACGUCAGGACCACCCCUUCGGGCUGCUGUCCUCUCACUUUGCUUCAGGUCCUCUAUUCCCCUCCCUCACUUCCCUGCCUCUAAAGCCAUGGCUCCUACCUGGCUGCAAAUCGCAGCCAUGGAGGAACUGUAUGAUAACUCAACGCGAAGCCCGUCCGGAAGUGAGACCAAGCACCUCCAGCGUCCAGCUCGCCAGGUGAUUCUGCAGCCCAGGUAGGCAGAGGCCCUGAGCCUCCGGAAGUGCUGGCCCUUGAGCUCCUGUCCGACCUCCUUCCCCUCAGUCCCACUGCCUGCUCCACCUCAGCCCCAGGCCUCCUCCCGGCCCCACACGCCAGGGACCCCAGGCCAGCACCCUGCCCCCACCUGACUACCAGCAGCUCCCUCCCCGGGCUCCGCACCAUCGCCUCCCUCGGUGCUCGGCCUACCUGACGCUGCUGCUCGCCACACCUGCGGGGGCUCUGCGGGGCAGCAGGCCUGUCCCCUUCUCCACACUGCGGGUUCUG
rnacentral:lncRNA from 1 species